AGUGGAAGCUUGCGGUGGCUCUCCAGUGACCAGAGGCAUAGUGAGGUCCCAGGGAGGCUCCCUCUGUCUUGCAACAGUUAUUUGUGAUCUUUUUCUAUGUGCCUAUUGUCACAACAGAGUCCGGCAGCGUCUUCUCUUGAGGGAGCAAUUUGGAGAAGAGCUGGAACCCAGACUCGCGCCCUGGAUGCCAUCCUUUAUCAUCCACAGCAAUCCCAUCUGCCCUUCAGAUAUUUCAACACUCCUCUCAGCAUCCUCCACUUCCCCCAUCUCUCCAAGCUGAACUUGGUUCACAGGGUGGGAUUGUCUUCGAGAGCUGUGCCCAGGAGUGAACAACCAGCCCUACCUCUGUGAGAGUGGUCACUGCUGCGGGGAGACUGGCUGCUGCACCUACUACUAUGAGCUCUGGUGU
rnacentral:lncRNA from 1 species